rfam:Loxodonta africana unplaced genomic scaffold scaffold_16, whole genome shotgun sequence.
AGGGUAUAACCUAUCUCCUAGGGUUGCAGUGAGAUUUAAAGCAGAGAAAGUUUGUAAUUAUUAUUAUGAUUAUAGUUAUAAUAAACCUGUAAGAAACAUAGUGGAAUCCUCUAUUAACAAAAGCUAUGAUUUAUAGAGCACUCAUUAAUAUGAUGUAUUUAUUGAUUUAUAGUUUAGUUUUCAUAUUUAAACUUUCCCUAAUAUUUUUUC